UACGUAGGGGGCAAGCGUUGUCCGGAAUCAUUGGGCGUAAAGCGCGUGUAGGCGGCUCGGUAAGUCUGCUGUGAAAGUCCAGGGCUCAACCCUGGGAUGCCGGUGGAUACUGUCGAGCUCGAGUCCGGAAGAGGCGGGUGGAAUUCCUGGUGUAGCGGUGAAAUGCGCAGAUAUCAGGAGGAACACCAAUGGCGAAGGCAGCUCGCUGGGACGUGACUGACGCUGAGACGCGAAAGCGUGGGGAGCAAACAGG
rnacentral:rRNA from 1 species